rnacentral:lncRNA from 1 species
CAAGACUCCCUUUCAAAAAACAAACAAAAGAAAAAAUAGAGUUUUCUCUAUCACACAAAUGGGAAAGUUUGUAUUGAAUGUUAUAUUUAUCCUCUAUCCAGUCUUGUCUUGGAGCACAAAGCAAAAAGGCCCAGCAUCCUCCACUAUCUUCUGAAAACUUGCCCUCAGGCCUGAGCAAGAGGGCUGCCCGGUUGCUUCCAUGUAGCCAGCCAGCAUAUGUGCAGGGCCAAGUCUAGAGGGAGGAGGGGGUGGCACAUGGAUGGUUUCGUUUAAUUGGAAGACAGUGGGUAGAUUGGAGCUGGCAUUUGAAGAUGUUGAGAGUUGUGGAUCAUGGGCAAGAAAAGCGCUGUUCUGGGACUGCGGGGCAGGAGAAGGAAACUGAUGCUUCUGAGGGUGAGUCUGAUGAGAUAACAUGCCUGUGUGUGGGCCUCAGGUUAGACAGUGCUGAGGUCUCCCAUCACUGGGCAUCCAGCUGGGUGCUAUGGCCGUGGCUCCUGCCUUCUGCAGCCCUGUCAGGGCCCAAGGCCUUCCCCAUCAGCACUUGCUCCAGCCUACUCACUGGAGUUGUGUUCUGGGUGGGUGUGUAGAAUACUCGCACUCCUACUUGGGGCAUCAGGGAGCUCUCUAGCAAUUUCUUCUGCACCUAGCGAGAGCCCACUGCUAAAAAAGGCCUGGUCAAAUCCUCAGGUGUACAUGGACAUCAAGAUUGGGAACAAGCCGGCUGGCUGCAUCCAAACCCUCCUGCGUUCCGACGUCAUGCCCAUGACCGCAGAGAAUUUUCUCUACCUGUGCACCCAUUUAAAGGACUCGGCUUCAAGGGAAGCAGCUUCCACCGCAUUAUCCCCCAGUUCAUGUGCCAGGGCAGUGAUUUCACAAACCACGGUGGCACCAGGGGUCUGCCAGGCAUGGCACUAAGUGUCCCAUGGCACAUUUGGCCCUCAUGGAGGCCUCAAAAGGGCAGGACCAGCACGCUCUUCUACGGAGGAAGGAACGGGCACAGCAGGUACGUGAUGUGGUCAAAUUAACAAGAGGCAGAGGCCGGGUAAGUGGCUCACGCCUGUAAUCCUAGCACUUUGGGAGGCUGAGGCAGGAGGAUUGCUUGAGCUCAGGAGUUCAAGACUGGCCUGGGCAAAGUUUAAGACCGGCCUGGGCAACAUAGUGAGACCUGGUUUCUAUAAA